rnacentral:rRNA from 1 species
CUCUUUGUAAAAUAUUUAAAGUCUGGUCUGCCCUGGAGGAUUUUAACGGCCGCAGUAUUUUAACUGUGCUAAGGUAGCAUAAUCAUUAGUUUUUUAAUUGAAAGCUGGAAUGAAGGGUUGGAUGAAAAAAUAAUUGUCUCUAUUAAAUUUAUUUAGAAAUUUAUUUUUAAGUUAAAAAGCUUAAAUAGGUUUAAAAGACGAGAAGACCCUAUAGAGUUUUAUUUUGAAAUUUAAUUAAUAAUUUUAGUAUUAAAUUUUAUUGUUUUAAUAAGAAUUUAAUUGGGGUGAUUUAAAAAUUUAAUAAACUUUUUUAUAUAGGUAUAUUUAUAAAUAAAUAGUUGAUCCAAAGAAAAUUUGAUUAUAAGAUUAAAUUACCUUAGGGAUAACAGCGUAAUUUUAUUAGAGAGUUCAAAUUGAAAAUAAAGAUUGCGACCUCGAUGUUGGAUUAAAA